AGCCCAAAAGAUUGAACAAAUGAA
rnacentral:siRNA from 1 species